GUGAGGAAUAUUGCGCAAUGGGGGAAACCCUGACGCAGCAAUGCCGCGUGGGUGAAGAAGGCCUUCGGGUCGUAAAGCCCUGUCGGGUGGGAAGAACAGCCUUGAGGCCAAUACCCUCAAGGUUUGACGGUACCACCGAAGGAAGCACCGGCUAACUCCGUGCCAGCAGCCGCGGUAAGACGGAGGGUGCGAGCGUUAUUCGGAAUCAUUGGGCGUAAAGGGCGUGUAGGCGGCCGGUCAAGUCAGAGGUGAAAGCCCAGGGCUCAACCCUGGAAGGGCCUUUGAUACUGGCUGGCUUGAGUCCGAGAGAGGGAAGCGGAAUUCCUGGUGUAGAGGUGAAAUUCGUAGAUAUCAGGAGGAACACCGGUGGCGAAGGCGGCUUCCUGGACCGAGACUGACGCUGAGACGCGAAAGCGUGGGGAGCAAACAGGAUUAGAAACCCGGGUAGUCC
rnacentral:rRNA from 1 species